rnacentral:rRNA from 1 species
UUUAAUAAAUGAGUAUUACUGCAAAGAAAUAUUAAUUUAAAGUUUGAUUAAUACCUUUUGCAUAAUGGUUUAAUAAUAAGUUCAAAGAAUUUUUUAUACCGAAAUUAGAAGAUCUAAUUUUUAUUUAUUUAUGGAGUAAAAUUAUAUAAUGUUUCAAAAUUAUAUUGAAAAUAUAAAUUAGGAGUGAAAGGCUUAUCAAUUCUAAAGAUAUCUGUAAUAAUUUUAAAUGUAUUUAGUACAAAAUAAUUUUUGAAUAAAAAAAUGUUAAGAUUUUUUUAUAAUAGAAUAUUUAAUUAAAUUUCAUGUGGAUUAAUCUUCUAACAUUUUAUUAUAAUCAUAAUUUAUAAUUUACUGUAUCUAAUUUGUAAAAUUAUUCAUAAUGUAAUAUAAAAAUUUAAGUUAAUAAUGUUAAAAUUAGUAUAUAAUAUAAAUUUAUUAAAGGAACUCGGCUAAUUAAUAUUCACCUGUUUAUCAAAAACAUAGCCUCAUGAAAAUUAUAUAAGGUGAAACCUGCCCACUGAUAAAAAUUUAAAGGCCGCAGUACCUUGACUGUGCUAAGGUAGCAUAAUAAAUUGACUCUUAAUUGGGGCCUUGAAUGAAUGGAUAAAUGAAUAAUUUCUGUCUCAAAUAAAUUUAAUAAAAAUUACUUAAGAGGUGAAAAUUCCUUUAAACUUAUUUAAUAGACGAGAAGACCCUAGGAGUUUAAAAUUUUGUUGGGGCGACAAUAUAGCAUAAAUUAUUAACCUAUAUAAAUUUAAUAAUAUAAAACGAAUAAUUUUAAUAAUAAAUAAACUACCCUAGGGAUAACAGCAUAAUUUACACUUAAGUUUGUGACCUCGAUGUUGGACUAGGAACUUUUAAUAUUAACAAUAUUAAUUGGUAGUUCUGUUCGA